AAGUCGUAACAAGGUCUCCGUAGGUGAACCUGCGGAGGGAUCAUUAACACUAUUUGGCUAGUGUCAUUCGAGUAUCUUGCAAAAGAGAAAGCGUGAUGUUAGUUCAGAUUUUCACAAACCUGUCGAACUCGGUUACCUCGUGUAACCAAUCCGCUGUUUCUUCUAAGUAGGUUGUUGUAGUGACGAAGUGAGCCCCCGUACUUGCUACUUUCUGGGAGUAUGGAACGGCGACUGAGCAACUUUGCUUUGAAACGGUAUAAAUUUUUGGUGACGUUACACUUCAAAACGUCUCGUCCCCUUUGCCUACUUUUUCACCCCUUUUAAGCCAAUUGACUGAUUUAACGGAGCACAUCGAAAGGUGUCUUAGCUUCGUCAAGAUAACAAACUAAGCACAACUCUUAGCAACGGAUAUCUUGGUUCUC
rnacentral:misc_RNA from 1 species